AUUGAACGCUGGCGGCAGGCCUAACACAUGCAAGUCGAGCGGUAGAGAGAAGCUUGCUUCUCUUGAGAGCGGCGGACGGGUGAGUAAUACCUAGGAAUCUGCCUGAUAGUGGGGGAUAACGUUCGGAAACGGACGCUAAUACCGCAUACGUCCUACGGGAGAAAGCAGGGGACCUUCGGGCCUUGCGCUAUCAGAUGAGCCUAGGUCGGAUUAGCUAGUUGGUGAGGUAAUGGCUCACCAAGGCUACGAUCCGUAACUGGUCUGAGAGGAUGAUCAGUCACACUGGAACUGAGACACGGUCCAGACUCCUACGGGAGGCAGCAGUGGGGAAUAUUGGACAAUGGGCGAAAGCCUGAUCCAGCCAUGCCGCGUGUGUGAAGAAGGUCUUCGGAUUGUAAAGCACUUUAAGUUGGGAGGAAGGGCAGUUACCUAAUACGUGAU
rnacentral:rRNA from 1 species